rnacentral:misc_RNA from 1 species
GUCACAGUCUACUGAAGGUUGUAGGUUUUAGAUUAUUACACAAGACAAAACAUUAACACAUAUAUCCAUGCUAAAUGUACUGUGAGCAUAUUUCAAUGAGAAAAAUAAACCACUAAGCAAAUUCUCCAAACAAAAUAUUUUGACUUUGUUCUGACCAAUGAGAAGAACAUGAUGACCAGUGGUACAAUUCAUGGUGUAAAGUUGCAGAAUCUCCAAAGCCGUUAAAUGUAACAUAACUUUUAUCUUAGAGGGCAUUAUAAGAAGAAUUUCAUAAAGUUGCUUGCUAAAAGACAAUGCAUCAUUUUUCUUUAUUUGGAGAUAUCAUAAGAAGCAAGUUUUCAUGUGUUAUUAACAAAAGACUUUGAGAAUGGAGGCUUGACCAUUUG